UUCGAGCUGCGUGGCUCGGUCCAUUUACGAAUAAAUACAUUUCCUUCCGUCACCUCGGCUUGUCUCUGGAAAGGGGAGCUGAAGAAAGGAAUUCUGCCUUUUAGGGUUGCUAUGCUACCUUAGGACCCGCCUCUGUCCUUUCGAGUCUGCUCCACUAAGAAGCCCGGAACUUGAUUUUGAUUUACAGCCUGGCAAUGUAGAUGGUGAUGUGGGAUCGCAAAUUCGGCUUCGAGUGCCUGUACCCCCGAAAUGGGUGGGGAUUUGUGCAGAAAGGUUAGGGCUUAUUACCCGGAAUCUGGUGUCCGGCUCUGUGCCCAAUCCAGAAGGCAAGCUCACCGACGCUUUGCAAUGGUGCAUCGCAAACGGCAAAGAUUUAACUCAUUGUUUUUGCAAAUACACACACAUACACAAAUAUGCGAUGAAAGAAAUCCAUGCAUCUGUAAGUCUAAGCAUCUCGGCCCAUUAGAACACAGUGUAUCCUAAGAGUAUGCAGAAAUUUGGGGCUUUGUAAGAGUUUGUGGAUUCAUUGUGAGCAUUCUGACCCUAUUGGUAGGGAAUGGGGACCUGGCACUCGAUGCCGUUUAUCUCAAAGACUUACAGUCUUGAUUGAUGCCACAAGAAAUAUAUAAAAAUUAAAUAUUUCAAGCGUUUGAAAUCAGUGCAAGACAAACCAAGGACAUGUAUAUGUUAACUGUCAGAUGUAUGUGUUUCACCCAGGGGAUUUAUCCCUGCCCUUAGUUCCCAUGGAAAAAGCUUUCUCUCUCACACACACACACACACUGAACCUUAUGCAUGGUUCCCUCUGCUUUUUUCUUUGCCUGCCUUUCGUAGAUCUCCUGAACUAUCUCCAUUUCUUCCCACAACCUUUGUUUUCACCUAAAACUUUAUUAUUCUAGAAAAACUGAGGACAUAUCGUUAGUGUUGGCCCAGUGAUGCCACAUCAUCUUUCAGGUGUGCCCUGAUAACAUGCCCUGGAAAUCUAACAGUGACUGACUGGAGUUCACUUGGAAGACAAACAUGGAUCUAAGAGGACCGGAGCCCUGACACCAUCUGCAAAAGUGGGAGGAGGAUGCUACAUGGAGGAUGUUGUCUCAGGCUACACGGCGAGUGACAGCCUCAGAAUCGGGUCCAAAGCAGGCGUGUGCCUCUAGACCUUGCUUGGUGUCUCCAGUCACCGCUGCAGAGGAGGAGCUGCACACCAGCCACUUGGCCUUGACCAAGGGAGCCGGAGCCAGAGGAACCACAGGUCCCCAGCACUUCCAUAGCCAGCCCAGAGCUGCAGGAUGUCUGUAGAUCUGCCCCCCGCGUGGCAGCUCUGCGGGUCUCUCCUGUGUUUUCUAAUAUUGUUGCCAGCGUUUUAGAGAACCGAGAUUUACCUGAAAUAUAGAUUUAUAGCUCUUGAAAAAUCGGAAGAUCUGCUGACAGUGGCAUCUACACUCUGUGAGGCCUCCUGUCCGUCCCUUCUGUGUGUCUUCACUGGUCUCUGCGCGUCCGCUUGACCCCCUCAACACGUACCUGAUACUCUGCUGUGGCUGCUGAUGGUUCUUUGCUGUUCAUGCAGGUAGCUGUAUUGUAGUUUGGAUGGAGACUGGGAGCUGUUUACCCCCAGACGUACAGCAGGUCAUGCCUGCCUGUCCACCUGCAUCUUCUUGUCUGUCCCUUAGGUAGCUUCUUAGGCAGUGUGUUGUCACCUCCACUGUCUUCUGCCUAGCUCACAUUCAGAACUAGAAGUUGGUCCUGAAUAAGAAGUAAAGGCCCGAGCUGGCUGUGGUGGCACAGGCCUGUGAUCCCAGCAUGCUGGAGACAAGGCCCAAAGGAUCAAUGGUGAGAGACCAGGCUGGAGCAGGGGGACAAUACUGAAGGACACGGGGUGCACCCUUGGCAACACAAUUACAGGUAAGAACUGGAAAGACCGACCGUCAGCAGUUAAGAGCGCUUGCUGCUCUUGCAGAGGACCCAAGUUCAGUUCCCAGCAGCCACAUCUCAGGCUGCUUGUAACAGCGGCCCUAGCUGUGCACACACCCGCAUGCAACUUCCAUUCCUACACAAACUUUUAAUAUUAAAAAAAAUCCCUGCACUUCAACUCUACUUAACAACUGACUGUUUUCUAACUGUGUGUUUGAAAUACUUCAGUUUAAGCCAGGUGAUGGUGGCACACGCCUGUAUCCCAACACUCUGGGAGGCAGAGGCAGGCGGAUUUCUGAGUUCAAGGCCAGCCUGGUCUACAGAGUGAGUUCCAGGACUGCCAGGGCUACACAGAGAAACCCUGUCUCAAAAAAACCAAAAAAAAAAAAAAAAAAAAAAAAAAAAGAAAUACUUCAGUUUAGUGUGAUUGGAGUAUAUAAAUACUCAAAAUGAACUUCUGGAUGAAACCAAGCAUGAUAAACAAUAGAACCAAAAAGGAAAAAGUAGUAUUAAUAUUUAAAAAUUUUUAAAGACGAAUCAUUGGAAAGCAAGAAGACCCAAAACAAAGCCUGUCUAAAAAAAAUUUUUAAAGGAAAAAGAAGAAAAGAAAUUCCCAGAUCUCCCUGCAAUUAAGAGAAUAAUAAGAACUUUGCCCAGAAAGCUGUGUUCUCCAAGUAGGAGAGAUAACUAUGAAAUGUAUCUGCUGUGCUGAAAGGAAAAAAAGGACCCUGUGCUGACAUUAGCGCAGAAAGACCCUCUCCCCUAGGAGCCACACCUACAGGGUGCCCCGCUUACUAGAUGAGAGUCAAGGCCAUGCAUGCCACAGUGGAAUUACCAGGCAUCCUCAGGCCUGGUUUGUGAGACUCCAAGCAACUAUCAAAAGCAAGCACAAACCUCCUCCAGGAAGAUAUCCUGAACCCAGACCUCAGGGAAUUCUCACAGAAAGCACGUCAGAAGCAGAAGCUCCUGUUUGGAAAACAAAACCAGAGUAAGGAAGGGCUGACAGAAGCCAUGCUGAGACAGGCAGAGGGGUCUGCGCUUAAGUAUUUAAAAAAGUUGGGCAGAGAUAGUGCACGCCUUUGAUUCCAGCACUCAGGAAGCGCGAGUUCAAGGCCGGCCUGGUCCACAGAGUGAGUUUCAGAACAGCCAGGGUUCCACAGAAAAAAUAAACCUGUCUCAAAGAAACAAAAACAAAGGUAAAAGAAAAGCUUGAAAGUUAAGAAAAGAACAAGUAUCUUGAAAAUAUUGAAUGGUUUUGUUUUGUGCUAGGGUCUAGCCUCAGACUUUCUCUUUCUCUUUACUUAGCCUGGUGAGUGUUGGGAUCACAGGCUUGGGCCGCCACACCCAGCUCUAAAUUAACCUUUUUAUUUCCCAGCUGGGUUUUAGAUUCUUGAUGACAUGGGGUGAGGAGAGACACAUGCUAUUGUCCUUUGACCGUCAGAGGAAAGACAUGAAGGAUUCAUUCAAAAUGUUCCUUUUAAACGCCAGAGUCUAUAUUUACACCUUGGAAAUGUAAAUGUCAGAACCUUAUUAUAAAACCUUAUCUGGGAAGAUGUGGUCAGCGUUUAUGUGACUUCGGGACUGGCCCAGCAGGCAGGGGGCUUUGUGGGUAAACUGUUCUUCUGUUCCGUCUUGAAAAAAGAUGAGAGAUGAACCUGUGCCCUCACCCACCUGUCAGGUGGCCGACUUCCAUGCCCAGAUUAGAACCUCAAACACAAUUACUUUCUGGGCUCGUAAUUCCAGACCGUACAGAUGGACUCUUCAGGAUAUGUGUGUCUCUUUUGUGCAAUGUGUUGCAUGCACUGAUGUCAAGUUUUCUGGAAUCAUCUUAUACUAACACCCAUGGGGUGUGUGAGUCGAAGCCCAAAGGUCAUUAAAUCUCAUUGUUACCUCUCCACCUGGAGAUGGGGUAAGCCUGUGAACCAGGAAGAUGGCGGAGGAAAAAACGAAGUUUGGCCAAGUCUUUAUGUCUGGUGUUAAUGUCAGUGUUAAGUUGUCAGGCUAUUGAUCCAAAGCCCGUACCUAUGUGAUAGCAAACCCAGCACAGGAGUGGGAGGAGUCGGGUCAGGUCACCAGACAUGUGCGACAGUCACUGAGUAAGACAUGUGUGAAGAAGACCUGUCAAGGUCUCCAAACUGUGGAUGUUUAUAAAAGUACAGUUUCCCACCCAACGCACACAGCACCCAGAGUCCCUGGAGAAUCUUGCCACUCAACUCUUUCAUCAGAAGGCUUUUGUUUGAGGAGACACUUUAAGUCUAUAUUUGAAAUGGGCAGUGGAGCCAAGUGAAGUUACAUAAGUGGAUGCUCUCCUGGGGCCCCCAGGCUCGUUAGGAACCGACCAUUUGUAUUCAGGUCUCUCUCUCUCUCUCUCUCUCUCUCUCUCUCUCUCUCAGAAAGCCAACCAUAGAAAGAUGAGUUGGGUCUUUUAAUUCCUUCGCUUAUUGAUCACAAAGAUACAUCACUAAAGAGGGAGUGUGGGUUGUCAUGACAACUCUAACAGAAGCCCACAUGACACUCAUGGAUUUUGGAAAGGAGAGACCUGCCGCCCCCCACAAGCCGACCUUUCUCAGUGGACAGCAGCAGAAGAAAGCCAAGGUGACAGACUGGUGAACUUGGAAACCAGUGUCAUCCCACACCUGACAACCUUAUGUGACUGACAACACCCAGUUCCUUUCACUGCUACAUUCAGACUGGAUCCGAGGUCCACUGUGAAUGAGGUCUCCUCCACACUUUGGCUUCCUGCCCCAUAAAUUUGACAUUAUCAAUAAAUUGUUUUUCUAAACUGAUCACUCCCCAAAUAAACAAUUAGACCAGCACUCCUGGACUGCCUGGUUUUGUGUGUCAACUUGACACAGCUGGAGUUAUCACAGAGGAAGGAGCCUCCCUUGAGGAAAUGCCUCCAUGAAAUCCAGCUGUAAGGCAUUUUCUCAAUUAGUGAUCAAGUGGGGAAGGCCCUCUGUGGGUGCCAUCCCUGGGCUGGUAGUCUUGGGUUCUAUAAGAAAGCAGGCUGAGCAAGCCAGGGGAAGCAAGCCAGUAAGAAAGAUCCAUGGCCUCUGCAUCUGACCUGCUUGAGUUCCAGUCCUGACUUCCUUUAGUGAUGAACAUCUGUGUGGAAGUUUAACUGAAUAAACC